GGAAAGUAAAAGUCGUAACAAGGUUUCCGUAGGUGAACCUGCGGAAGGAUCAUUACUGAGUGAGGGCCCUCUGGGUCCAACCUCCCACCCGUGUUUAUUAUACCUUGUUGCUUCGGUGAGCCCGCCUCACGGCCGCCGGGGGGCAUCUGCCCCCGGGCCCGCGCCCACCGAAGACACCUAGAACUCUGUAUGAAGAUUGCAGUCUGAGCAAAAACUAAAUAAGUUAAAACUUUCAACAACGGAUCUCUUGGUUCCG
rnacentral:misc_RNA from 1 species